rnacentral:rRNA from 1 species
UUGAACGCUGGCGGCAGGCCUAACACAUGCAAGUCGAACGGUAACAGGAAGAAGCUUGCUUCUUUGCUGACGAGUGGCGGACGGGUGAGUAAUGUCUGGGAAACUGCCUGAUGGAGGGGGAUACCUCCUGAAAACGUAAGCAAUAACGGCAUAAGGCCCCAAUCCAAAGGAGGGGGACCUCCGGGCCCCUGCCCACCGGAUGUGCCCAGAUGGGAUAAGCUCGUAGGUGGGGUAACGGCUCACCUAGGCGACGAUCCCUAGCUGGUCUGAGAGGAUGACCAGCCACACUGGAACUGAGACACGGUCCAGACUCCUACGGGAGGCAGCAGUGGGGAAUAUUGCACAAUGGGCGCAAGCCUGAUGCAGCCAUGCCGCGUGUAUGAAGAAGGCCUUCGGGUUGUAAAGUACUUUCAGCGGGGAGGAAGGGAGUAAAGUUAAUACCUUUGCUCAUUGACGUUACCCGCAGAAGAAGCACCGGCUAACUCCGUG